AUUAAAAAGAUAGAAAAGCUUCACACAAGGUUAGAGAUCUAAACUUGAACAUUUGUAGUUAGAUGAUUAUGUUUUAGUUUAAUUAACUUUGAAAGUAACUUAAAAUCAUAACAAAACAAUUGUUGAGGGACCAAAGAGAAAUUCGUCCAGCUAGGGUUUAGGUUUGAGGAUGGAAGAUUUUGAUACAAAUUAUGAAUUAGUUAAGUGUGAAUGAGUGUAUAAAUAUCAAAUAUGCAUUUAGAAUUCAACAAAUGAAUUAAACAUGGAAGUUAGGGUUUUGGACCUAGGGU
rnacentral:misc_RNA from 1 species